rnacentral:tRNA from 1 species
GCGGCCGUGGUCUAGUGGUUAGGACGGUGUGAGAUUUUAAUUCCGUAAGCCUCCCGAGCCACCGAUCCCGGGUUCAAAUCCCGGCGGCCGCA